AGCCCCGUAGUCUAGUGGUCAAGGAUACAGGACUUUGAAUCCUGUGACCCCGGUUCGAAUCCGGGCGGGGCUA
rnacentral:tRNA from 1 species